rnacentral:rRNA from 1 species
GUGGGGAAUAUUGGGCAAUGGGGGCAACCCUGACCCAGCAACGCCGCGUGAGGGAAGAAGGUUUUCGGAUUGUAAACCUCUGUCCUAUGGGAAGAAGGAAGUGACGGUACCAUAGGAGGAAGCCCCGGCUAACUACGUGCCAGCAGCCGCGGUAAUACGUAGGGGGCGAGCGUUGUCCGGAAUUACUGGGCGUAAAGGGUGCGCAGGUGGCCUGACAAGUCAGAUGUGAAAUACCGAUGCUUAACGUCGGGGCUGCAUUUGAAACUAAGAGGCUGGAGUGCAGGAGAGGGAAGCGGAAUUCCUAGUGUAGCGGUGAAAUGCGUAGAUAUGGGGAGGAACACCAGUGGCGAAGGCGGCUUUCUGGACGGUGUCUGACACUGAGGCGCGAAAGCCAGGGGAGCGAACGGGAUUAGAAACCCGUGUAGUCC